rnacentral:rRNA from 1 species
CAGUAGCCGCGGUAAUACGAAGGGGGCUAGCGUUGUUCGGAUUUACUGGGCGUAAAGCGCACGUAGGCGGAUCGAUCAGUCAGGGGUGAAAUCCUGGAGCUCAACUCCAGAACUGCCUUUGAUACUGUCGAUCUCGAGUCCGGAAGAGGUGAGUGGAACUCCUAGUGUAGAGGUGGAAUUCGUAGAUAUUAGGAAGAACACCAGUGGCAAAGGCGGCUCACUGAUCCGGUACUGACGCUGAGGUGCGAAAGCGUGGGGAGCAGACAGGAUUAGAUACCCGCGUAGUCCCUGUCUCUUAUAC